AGAGUUUGAUCAUGGCUCAGGAUCAACGCUGGCGGCGUGCCUAACGCAUGUAAGUCGAACGCAGCACCUUCGGGUGCUGAGUGGCGAACGGCUGAGGAACACGUACGAACCUACCCACUCGUGGGGAAUAACGCCGCGAAAGCGGUGCUAAUACCGCGUACGCUGGGGGCUUACUCCCAGGAAAGCGCUUCGGCGCGCGGGUGGCGGGGCGUGCGGCCCAUCAGGUAGUUGGCGGGGUAACGGCCCACCAAGCCGGUGACGGGUAGCUGGUCUGUGAGGACGAUCAGCCAGACUGGGACUGCGAGACGGCCCAGACACCUACGGGUGGCAGCAGCGAGGAAUCUUCCGCAAUGGGCGAAAGCCUGACGCAGCGACGCCGCGUGGGGGAUGAAGGCCCUCGGGUUGUAAACCCCUUUCAGCAGGGACGAAUCUGACGGUACCUGCAGAAGAAGCCCCGGCCAACUACGUGCCAGCAGCCGCGGUAAGACGUAGGGGGCGAGCGUUGUCCGGAUUUAUUGGGCGUAAAGGGUUCCUAGGCGGCUGAGAAAGUCGGAUGUGAAAGCUCCAGGCUCAACCUGGAGAUGCCAUCCGAUACUUCUCUAGCUAGAGUCCGGUAGGGGCGUGUGGAAUCUCCGGUGUAGCGGUGAAAUGCUUAGAUAUCGGGGGGAACACCAGUGGCGAAGGCGGCACGCUGGGCCGGAACUGACGCUGAAGAACGAAAGCGUGGGUAGCAAACAGGAUUAGAUACCCCGGUAGUCC
rnacentral:rRNA from 1 species